AGUGAGGCCUGGUGCACAAUGGAGGGGGGGGGGGCUGGGCCCUCCACAUGGAAAUGAGGCCAAAGCCCCUUUUUCUCCCUCCUCUGUCUGGCUUCUUCCUCCUUCUCCUCCUCCUCUUUGGCCUUAGAGAGCACCGUGGACAGAGCUCAAAUGAAAACCCUGGAAGUGAAACUCAGCUUGAUCCAGGGUCCCUCAGAAGCUCCACCAAGGCCUUCAACAUUGCUUAGACUUGGAAAGGCCAGACACCCUCCCUCCAGACUGUGUUAAAUGCUCCUGGGAGGCCCUGACAUGGCUUGGAAUCUUCAGAAGUCACUGCACUGACAGACAGAUCACAUGAGAACAACAGACUCAGCUGGAAGAGGCACUACUGGCAAGGAUCAAAAUGUCCCAUGCAGUCCCAGAAAGUGAAGUCUGUGUGGCUAAUAGACAAGUGGGUCUCCAGGCCCCUUGGAGGAAGAACAGGCAAGCCUAAAAUUUUAUGCCUGAGAGCUCCACUGACAUGUACUGGAAGGCAAAGGCAUUUAUCACCCAGUGUCACAUGGCAGGGUCAUAAACAGUUAAUCUUCGACAAAGCGCAGAAGGAAGCAUUGUUGGAUACCCCUUCCAACAGAAAGAAUAAAUUAGGCUUAACUACCAGGUGCAUCUUUAAAUGCCGGUUACUAUUCACAUUGCAGCACAGACCCGUCUGUGAAGCUAGUGGGUGGAGAUGCUGGGUGGUAUCACCGGCUUCAGAAUUGCAUCCCCCAGAGUGCCUCUCUGGAGACUAGAAGAAGGGAUCCUUGGGGUUGGCCAUUCUUGCCCCAGCUUUUGAUGUGGUCUGCACGGGAGCAGCCACAGGCUAGGCUUCCCUUUCUGCUUGGAUUUCUAACCAGACCCUCUUCCUACAAUGCUAAACUGACUGUUUACUUCUGCAAGGGUUGCAUCCAAACAGCUAUGGUCUUGAGAUUUGAGUCUGAGAAUGGCAUGCAGUGCCUCAGCCACCUCAGAACAAACACAUAUCUGGGAGCUAUGGCACUUUUGACUUUCCUGGUGGCCUCUACCUCGUCAUGACCUCUGCAUAGCUCCAGGCAUACCUUGUCCCAGUUGUGAGCUCCUAUUUAUGGCUAUUCCUGCAAAUACUGUUGCAUGAUAUGUAUUUUGCAUGUUUUGUAAGAAACAACCUCUGAGUUUAUUUUUCCAGAAUAAAGAUUGAGACAGUAAAGAUGCGGAGGGACCUUGAAACUACACUCUGCACCCCCUACUUACUGGUGUCAGGUCUGUCACAUCUGAGCUGCUGUGACCUGCAGCAUGCCCCUCUCUGGCCAUUCAGGCGGGAGGUCCUGAGUCCUUGUCUCUUGCUGGUGGGCUUCUGUGCAUCCUGGGACGAUGGGGGUGAUGACUAGCUUGUUUUGGAGGAGGGGUCCUCAAAUUUGCAUUUCAAUGGGUUUUUAUUAAUCCACCUGCACGCGCACGAGUGCGCGCACACACAAACACACACACGAACAUACACA